GAUGAACGCUAGCGGCAGGCCUAAUACAUGCAAGUCAAGGGGCCAGUAAUGGCACCGGCGGACGGGUGCGUAACGCGUACACAACGUACCUUUGGGUGGGGGAUAGCAUCGGGAAACUGGUGGUAAUACCCCAUGGUAUUGGAGACUGGCAUCAGUUUUCAAUUAAAGACUACGCCCAAAGAUCGGUGUGCGUCUGAUUAGCUAGUUGGUAGGGUAACGGCCUACCAAGGCGACGAUCAGUAGGGGAUGUGAAAGGAAGGUCCCCCACACUGGUACUGAGAUACGGACCAGACUCCUACGGGAGGCAGCAGUAGGGAAUAUUGGUCAAUGGGCGCAAGCCUGAACCAGCCAUGCCGCGUGCAGGAAGAAUGCCCCUCUGGGUUGUAAACUGCUUUUGACAGGGAAGAAAUCACUUAUGCGUAAGUGUCUGACGGUACCUGUAGAAUAAGCACCGGCUAACUCCGUG
rnacentral:rRNA from 1 species